rnacentral:rRNA from 1 species
UUAGGCGAACGGGUGAGUAAUACAUAGGUAACCUACCCUUAAGACGAGGAUAGCCAUUGGAAACGAUGGAUAAAACUGGAUAGGAUAUAGAGGAAGAAUCUUUUAUAUUUAAAAGAGAGAUCUGCUUAAGGAGGGGCCUGUGGCGCAUUAGCUAGUUGGUGGGGUAAGGGCCUACCAAGGCGAUGAUGCGUAGCCGGACUGAGAGGUUGAACGGCCACAAUGGAACUGAGAACGGUCCAUACUCCUACGGGAGGCAGCAG